UAUGUGAUCGUCUCUCGCAUAUCAAUAAGCGGAGGAAAAGAAACUAACAAGGAUUCCCCUAGUAACGGCGAGUGAAGCGGGAAGAGCUCAAAUUUGAAAUCUUAAAGGGUUUCCCUUUACGAAUUGUAGUUUAAAGAAGUGUUUUCUGUUGAGGUUUUGGUAAAAGUUCUUUGGAAUAGGACAUCAUAGAGGGUGAGAAUCCCGUAUUUGACCUUUACUUUCAACUUUGUGAUACACUUUCAAAGAGUCGGAUUGUUUGGGAAUGCAGUCCAAAAUGGGUGGUAAAUUUCAUCUAAAGCUAAAUAUUGGCGAGAGACCGAUAGCGAACAAGUACCGUGAGGGAAAGAUGAAAAGAACUUUGAAAAGAGAGUUAAACAGUACGUGAAAUUGUCAAAAGGGAAGCGUUUGACACCAGUGUUGUUUUUCUGAAAAUCAAUUAAAGAACUGUUUAUGCUAAGCUGUUUAGACUUUAUCAGCUAACUGUUUAGUUUUGAGCUUUUCUUUAAUGCACUUUUCAGUUAACAAGUCAACAUCAAUUUCUUUUGCCGUAAAAAAGCUUGAGGAAGGUGGCUUGAGAUUCGUCUUAAGUGUUUAUAGCCUCUUGCCUAUGCAGUCGGAGAGAUUGAGGUCUGCAGCGUAGAUCCUUCGGGGCUAAAUGCAUUUGUGCUAAGUUAUAGCAUUUUAUAGACAACUUGUUGACUAUGAUUUGUCUUGUAGCUUACUCGCUUAUGUUAUUUUACCUACGCUUAGGAUGUUGAACGCGCACAGAGUCUC
rnacentral:rRNA from 1 species